AUUGAACGCUGGCGGCAGGCUUAACACAUGCAAGUCGAGCGAGCGGCGGACGGGUGAGUAAUGUCUGGGAAACUGCCUGAUGGAGGGGGAUAACUACUGGAAACGGUAGCUAAUACCGCAUACCAUCAGAUGUGCCCAGAUGGGAUUAGCGCGUAGGUGGGGUGAUGGCUCACCGAGGCGACGAUCCCUAGCUGGUCUGAGAGGAUGACCAGCCAGACUGGAACUGCGACACGGUCCAGACUCCGACGAGAGGCAGCAGGGGGGAAGAUUGCACGAUGGGCGCAAGCCUGAUACAGCCAUGCCGCGUGUGUGAAGAAGGCCUUCGGGUUGUAAAGCACUUUCAGCGAGGAGGCGGUACUCGCAGAAGAAGCACCGGCUAACUCCGUGCCAGCAGCCGCGGUAAUUC
rnacentral:rRNA from 1 species